CUCAUUGAAACAACGAAAAGUCAGAAGAUAUAAAAAUAAACUACUUUGCCCAAGAGAAUUUUGCUGGCUCACGUAGAAUAAGUAUUGUGGGGAAAAAAUGCCAGAGCAGCCAAAGGAUCUCAUCAAAUAAAAAAGUUGCAGAGGAAAUUAGUGGCUGGAGCAUACCUUCGGUGUGGCCAGACAUUUGGGCUGACAUGAAAGAUAAACACUAAGGUUAACACAGCAGGAAGUAAAAACAGAAGUGGAUGAAAAAGGUGCACGGCGACUGUGGUGGAGAUGUAUGUUGUCACAACCUAUCCAGACUUAAAGCCGUAUAGCACAUAUUGCCCAACUUUUAAACAGGUGGUUUUGUUUCCAUCUCUUGCAAGAAAAGAUCUUGGACUCAAUGGGACAACGUAGUACUGGUUACAGUGCCCUUUGUGCGGGAUGCUGCAACUGCAACAGCGUAGAGUUCACUGGUCCAGAGAACAAGAUGGUUGCCAUGGAAUCUAUUUAGUCUUUCUGAGAAAAUAGUGUU